GAUGAACGCUAGCGGCAGGCUUAAUACAUGCAAGUCGAGGGGCAGCAUAAGUAGCGAUACUUGAUGGCGACCGGCAAACGGGUGCGGAACACGUACGCAACCUUCCUUUAAGUGGGAAUAGCCCGGGGAAACCCGGAUUAAUACCCCGUAAUAUUAUGAUGUGGCAUCACUUUAUAAUUAUAGAUUCAUCGCUUAAAGAUGGGCGUGCGCCUGAUUAGGUAGCUGGCGGGGUAACGGCCACCAAGCCUGCGAUCAGUAACUGGUGUGAGAGCACGACCAGUCACACGGGCACUGAGACACGGGCCCGACUCCUACGGGAGCAGCAGUAAGGAAUAUUGGUCAACGGACGCAAGUCUGAACCAGCCAUGCCGCGUGGAGGAUGAAGGUCCUCGUGGAUUGUAAAACUUUCUUUUAUUUGGGAAGAAAUGCUAUUUUUCUAAAGUGCUUGACGGUACCAGAUGAAUAAGCACCGGCUAACUCCGUGCCAGCA
rnacentral:rRNA from 1 species